UUUCCGUAGGUGAACCUGCGGAAGGAUCAUUAUCGUACAAAAUGUGAGGGGCAUGCGAGGGCUGUCGCUGACCCAAAAGUCGUGCACGCCCGAGUGUGUCCUCUUGCAUAAUAGUCCAUCUCACCCUUUGUGCAUCACCGCGUGGGUCCCCCUUUGGCUUGUUCGGAGGGGGGCUUACGUUUUCACACAAACUUUGUAUGCAGUGUAGAAUGUAUUUUUUGUUUUUGCGAUCACGCAAUCAAUACAACUUUCAACAACGGAUCUCUUGGCUCUC
rnacentral:misc_RNA from 1 species